rnacentral:tRNA from 1 species
GAGAAGGUGGCUCAGUGGUAGAGUGCUUGCCUUGCAUGCAUGAGGCCCUGGGUUCGAUUCCUUACCACCACA